rnacentral:rRNA from 1 species
GACGACGCUGGCGGCGUGCCUAAUACAUGCAAGUAGGACGAGUUGCGAACGGGUGAGUAACGCGUGGUAACCUGCCUAUUAGAGGGGGAUAACUAUUGGAAACGAUAGCUAAUACCGCAUACUAGUAACUGGACCUGCGUUGUAUUGGCUAGUUGGGGGGGUAAAGGCCUACCAAGGCGACGAUCCGUAACGGGUUCGUGAGGAUGAGCAGACACACUGGAACUGAGAAACGGUCCAGACUCAUCCGGGAGGCAGCAGUGGGGAAUAUUGCACAAUGGGCGCAAGCCUGAUGCAGCCAUGCUGCGUGUAUGAAGAAGGCCUUCGGGUUGUAAAGUACUUGCAGCGGGGAGGCGUUACCCGCAGAAGAAGCACCGGCUAACUCCGUGCCAGCAGCCGCGGUAAUUC